rnacentral:rRNA from 1 species
UACGUAGGUGGCAAGCGUUAUCCGGAUUUAUUGGGUUUAAAGGGUGCGUAGGCGGCUUAAUAAGUCAGUGGUUAAAGGUAGCAGCUUAACUGUUUUACAUGCCACUGAUACUGCUAAGCUUGAGUUGACAGAAGGCAGAUAGAAUUUCUGGUGUAGCGGUGAAAUGCUUAGAUACCAGAAGGAAUACCGAUUGCGAAGGCAGUCUGCUGCAGUCACACUGACGCUGAGGCACGAAAGUGCGGGGAUCAAACAGG